CUACUACUCACUUGGCAGUGAGUGUCAUUUUACUGUUAUCUUCACUCUCGUCAACUGUCAGUGUUGUCAGGAGAGCCGACGUCAACAGUGGCGGCUGCCGCUGCUAUCGGAAAUUGGCGCUCCGAGCGCAGAGCAGAGAAUCUAUUUCGAUCUUCGUGAAAGACCAACGAGACGGCGAAGAUUGGGAUCAAGAGUGUUGCCGUCUCCGGAUGCUCGCGCGACUACGGUUAUUCAAAAGCUCCGGAAGUAGACGAGAGUUCUUGGCGAAGAUCCUGUGGCUUCUACAAUGUUGAUGUUGCGGUUCACACGUGUCAUAAGUGACGAACUAUUAGUGACUUCCCGCCAUGGCGAUUGGUAAUUUGCAUAUGCCUUGCCUUAACCCGGGAUGGUCUCUCGUUUAAAUGGUUUUUAAAUAUAUGCACAUGCAGUAACGAAUGCGAAUGGUAGAAUAAGUCAUUUGCAUAACUUUCAGCUUAAUUUAUUGUAAAUUUUGCAUAAAAUUAAACGCGAUAGCAAUACAAGACAUCACCUUUGCGAACAAUCAAUACGCAAACUGGAUACAUUAAAAGAAAUUUGCUGCCGAAUGGAGAAAGGAACUGCCGAAUUCCUUGAAGGUCAGUCAGUCGACCUGAUGGUCGGAUUCUAAUCACCGUUUUGUCAUGAAUGUUUGUACUCGUGCUCGUCCCAUUAUUUCACUGCCUAGCUAUUUCUUACGGGACCACUACAUCUCGACAUUGGCCGUUUAUUGCCGUCUUGCAAAUCAAGCAACUGAUAAAACAACGAUAGGAACGCACGUGCGCUGCGCAUUAAAUGGUGGCGGUUUAGUGAGGAAAAAGGAUUAG